rnacentral:rRNA from 1 species
CCUACGGGAGGCAGCAGUGGGGAAUAUUGGGCAAUGGGCGCAAGCCUGACCCAGCAACGCCGCGUGAAGGAAGAAGGCUUUCGGGUUGUAAACUUCUUUUGACAGGGAAGAGUAGAAGACGGUACCUGUCGAAUAAGCCACGGCUAACUACGUGCCAGCAGCCGCGGUAAUACGUAGGUGGCAAGCGUUGUCCGGAUUUACUGGGUGUAAAGGGCGUGUAGCCGGGUUGACAAGUCAGAUGUGAAAUCCUGCGGCUUAACCGCAGAACUGCAUUUGAAACUGUUGAUCUUGAGUACUGGAGAGGCAGACGGAAUUCCUAGUGUAGCGGUGAAAUGCGUAGAUAUUAGGAGGAACACCGGCGGCGAAGGCGGCCUGCUGGACCGCGACUGACGUUGAGGCUCGAAAGCGUGGGUAUCAAACAGGAUUAGAUACCCGAGAGUC